rnacentral:rRNA from 1 species
GUGGGGAAUCUUCCGCAAUGGACGAAAGUCUGACGGAGCAACGCCGCGUGAGUGAAGAAGGUUUUCGGAUCGUAAAGCUCUUUCGUUAGGGACGAACGUGCUCUUUGUGAAUAAUGAGGAGUAAUGACGGUACCUAAAUAAGAAGCCACGGCUAACUACGUGCCAGCAGCCGCGGUAAUACGUAGGUGGCAAGCGUUGUCCGGAAUUAUUGGGCGUAAAGCGCGCGCAGGCGGGAUAUCAAGUCUGUCUUAAAAGUGCGAGGCUCAACCUCGUGAGGGGACAGAAACUGGUAUUCUUGAGUGUCGGAGAGGAAAGUGGAAUUCCAAGUGUAGCGGUGAAAUGCGUAGAGAUUUGGAAGAACACCAGUGGCGAAGGCGACUGUCUGGACGAUGUCUGACGCUGAGGCGCGAAAGCUAGGGGAGCGAACGGGAUUAGAAACCCGGGUAGUCC